GACGAACGCUGGCGGCGUGCCUAAUACAUGCAAGUCGAACGCAGUGGGGACGGGUGAGUAACACGUGGGUAACCUCCCAUCAGAGGGGAUAACACUUGGAAACAGGUGCUAAACCGAUACUGAUGGAUGGAACCGCGGUUCAUUAGCUAGUUGGGGAGGGAACGGCUCACCAAGGCCACGAGGCAUAGCCGACCGGGGAGGGUGAUCGGCCACACGGGGACUUAGCCACGGACCAGACUCCUACGGUAGGCAGCAGUAGGGAAUCUGCGGCAAUGGACGAAAUUCUGACCGAGCAACGCCGCGUGAGUGAAGAAGGUUUUCGGAUCGUAAAACUCUGUUGUUAAAGAAGCGGUAUCUAACCAGAAAUCCACGGCUAACUACGUGCCAGCAGCCGCGGUAAUUC
rnacentral:rRNA from 1 species